CCUACGGGUGGCAGCAGUGGGGAAUAUUGCACAAUGGGGGAAACCCUGAUGCAGCGACGCCGCGUGAGUGAAGAAGGAUGUCGGGAGGUAAAGCGCGAGCAGCAGGGAAGAAGAAAGACGGGACCGGACGAAGAAGCCCCGGCUAACUACGUGCCAGCAGCCGCGGUAAUAAGGAGGGGGCAAGCGUUCUCCGGAUUUACGGGGGGUAAAGGGAGCGGAGACGGCUGGGCAAGUCUGAAGUGAAAGCCCAGGGCUCAACCCUGGGACUGCUUUGGAAACUGUGGAGCGAGAGUGCUGGAGAGGUAAGUGGACUUCCUCUUGUCGCUGUUAACUGCGUCGAUAUUAG
rnacentral:rRNA from 1 species